rnacentral:rRNA from 1 species
UACGUAGGGUGCAAGCGUUAAUCGGAAUUACUGGGCGUAAAGCGUGCGCAGGCGGUUUGGUAAGACAGAUGUGAAAUCCCUGGGCUCAACCUAGGAAUUGCAUUUGUGACUGCCCGGCUAGAGUGUGUCAGAGGGGGGUAGAAUUCCACGUGUAGCAGUGAAAUGCGUAGAGAUGUGGAGGAAUACCGAUGGCGAAGGCAGCCCCCCUGGGGAUAACACUGGUACG